rnacentral:rRNA from 1 species
GGCUUUCGGGUUGUAAAGCACUUUCAGUAGGGAGGAAAACCUUAUAGCUAAUACCCAUGAGGCUUGACGUUACCUACAGAAGAAGCACCGGCUAACUCCGUGCCAGCAGCCGCGGUAAUACGGAGGGUGCGAGCGUUAAUCGGAAUUACUGGGCGUAAAGCGCAUGCAGGCGGCUUGUUAAGCCAGAUGUGAAAGCCCGGGGCUCAACCUCGGAAUCGCAUUUGGAACUGGCAGGCUAGAGUCUUGUAGAGGGGGGUAGAAUUUCAGGUGUAGCGGUGAAAUGCGUAGAGAUCUGAAGGAAUACCGGUGGCGAAGGCGGCCCCCUGGACAAAGACUGACGCUCAGAUGCGAAAGCGUGGGGAGCAAACAGGAUUAGAUACCCUGGUAGUCCACGCCGUAAACGAUGUCUACUUGGAGGUUGUGGCCUUGAGCCGUGGCUUUCGGAGCUAACGCGUUAAGUAGACCGCCUGGGGAGUACGGUCGCAAGAUUAAAACUCAAAUGAAUUGACGGGGGCCCGCACAAGCGGUGGAGCAUGUGGUUUAAUUCGAUGCAACGCGAAGAACCUUACCUACUCUUGACAUCCAGCGAAUCCUUUAGAGAUAGAGGAGUGCCUUCGGGAACGCUGAGACAGGUGCUGCAUGGCUGUCGUCAGCUCGUGUUGUGAAAUGUUGGGUUAAGUCCCGCAACGAGCGCAACCCUUAUCCUUGUUUGCCAGCACUUCGGGUGGGAACUCCAGGGAGACUGCCGGUGAUAAACCGGAGGAAGGUGGGGACGACGUCAAGUCAUCAUGGCCCUUACGAGUAGGGCUACACACGUGCUACAAUGGCGUAUACAGAGGGCGGCCAACCAGCGAUGGUGAGCGAAUCCCAGAAAGUACGUCGUAGUCCGGAUUGGAGUCUGCAACUCGACUCCAUGAAGUCGGAAUCGCUAGUAAUCGUGGAUCAGAAUGCCACGGCGAAUACGUUCCCGGGCCUUGUACACACCGCCCGUCACACCAUGGGAGUGGGCUGCACCAGAAGUAGAUAGCUUAACCUUCGGGAGGGCGUUUACCACGGUGUGGUUCAUGACUGGGGUGAAGUCGUAACAAGGUAACC